ACUCCUAUAAUUUAAAGGUAGAAUAUUGGUCCUCUAAACCAAUCGUCUGAGUUCGAUUCUCAGUGGGAGUA
rnacentral:tRNA from 1 species